AGCCUCAGCCAUAUCACCCUGCAGCCCAAGACUGGUUACUCACUGAAGCUAAGCAGGGCUGAGCCUGGAUAGUACCUGGAUGGGAGACCACUAGGGAAGACUAGGUUGCUGUUGGAA
rfam:Danio rerio chromosome 4, GRCz11 reference primary assembly.